rnacentral:rRNA from 1 species
GAUGAACGCUGGCGGCGUGCCCAACUACAUGCAAGUCGAGCGAACGGACGAGAAGCUUGCUUCUCUGAUGUUAGCGGCGGACGGGUGAGUAACACGUGGAUAACCUACCUAUAAGACUGGGAUAACUUCGGGAAACCGGAGCUAAUACCGGAUAAUAUUUUGAACCGCAUGGUUCAAAAGUGAAAGACGGUCUUGCUGUCACUUAUAGAUGGAUCCGCGCUGCAUUAGCUAGUUGGUAAGGUAACGGCUUACCAAGGCAACGAUGCAUAGCCGACCUGAGAGGGUGAUCGGCCACACUGGAACUGAGACACGGUCCAGACUCCUACGGGAGGCAGCAGUAGGGAAUCUUCCGCAAUGGGCGAAAGCCUGACGGAGCAACGCCGCGUGAGUGAUGAAGGUCUUCGGAUCGUAAAACUCUGUUAUUAGGGAAGAACAUAUGUGUAAGUAACUGUGCACAUCUUGACGGUACCUAAUCAGAAAGCCACGGCUAACUACGUGCCAGCAGCCGCGGUAAUACGUAGGUGGCAAGCGUUAUCCGGAAUUAUUGGGCGUAAAGCGCGCGUAGGCGGUUUUUUAAGUCUGAUGUGAAAGCCUACGGCUCAACCGUGGAGGGUCAUUGGAAACUGGAAAACUUGAGUGCAGAAGAGGAAAGUGGAAUUCCAUGUGUAGCGGUGAAAUGCGCAGAGAUAUGGAGGAACACCAGUGGCGAAGGCGACUUUCUGGUCUGUAACUGACGCUGAUGUGCGAAAGCGUGGGGAUCAAACAGGAUUAGAUACCCUGGUAGUCCACGCCGUAAACGAUGAGUGCUAAGUGUUAGGGGGUUUCCGCCCCUUAGUGCUGCAGCUAACGC